UCAAGCGAAUAAGUGCAUAUGGUGGAUGCCUUGGCGAUUACAGGCGAUGAAGGACGUGGUAGCCUGCGUAAAGUCUCGGGGAGCUGGCAAACAAGCUUUGAUCCGGGAAUGUCCGAAUGGGGAAACCCACCCGCAAGGGUAACCCUCUCUGAAUAUAUAGGAGAGCGGUGGCGAACCGAGUGAACUGAAACAUCUAAGUAGCUCGAGGAAAAGAAAUCAACCGAGAUUCCGGAAGUAGUGGCGAGCGAACCCGGAAAAGCCUGUUACUUUUAGCACACGCGAUAAUAGAACGGAAUGGAAAGUCCGGCCAUAGUGGGUGAUAGCCCCGUAUAUGAAAUCCCGUGUGUGGAACUAGGGUAACGACAAGUAGGGCGGGACACGUGAAAUCCUGUCUGAAUAUGGGGGGACCAUCCUCCAAGGCUAAAUACUCGUAAUCGACCGAUAGUGAACCAGUACCGUGAGGGAAAGGCGAAAAGAACCCCGGGAGGGGAGUGAAAUAGAUCCUGAAACCGUAUGCAUACAAACAGUGGGAGCCUCGUAAGGGGUGACUGCGUACCUUUUGUAUAAUGGGUCAGCGACUUACAUUCAGUAGCAAGCUUAACCGGUAGGGGAGGCGUAGCGAAAGCGAGUCCGAAUAGGGCGUUCAGUUGCUGGGUGUAGACCCGAAACCAAGUGAUCUAUCCAUGGCCAGGAUGAAGGUGCCGUAACAGGUACUGGAGGUCCGAACCCACUAAUGUUGAAAAAUUAGGGGAUGAGCUGUGGAUAGGGGUGAAAGGCUAAACAAACUUGGAAAUAGCUGGUUCUCUCCGAAAACUAUUUAGGUAGUGCCUCGUGUCUCACUCUUGGGGGUAGAGCACUGUUAUGGCUAGGGGGCUCAUAAGAGCUUACCAAACCAUGGCAAACUCCGAAUACCGAGAAGUGCAAUCACGGGAGACAGUCCAUGGGUGCUAACGUCCGUGGACAAGAGGGAAACAACCCAGACCGACAGCUAAGGUCCCAAAUGACGUGCUAAGUGGAAAACGAAGUGGGAAGGCACAGACAGCCAGGAGGUUGGCUUAGAAGCAGCCAUCCUUUAAAGAAAGCGUAAUAGCUCACUGGUCGAGUCGUCCCGCGCGGAAGAUGUAACGGGGCUAAGCACGUAACCGAAGCUUCGGAUGCCAGUUUACUGGCAUGGUAGGAGAGCGUUCUGUAGGCCUGCGAAGGUGUAUCGUGAGGUAUGCUGGAGGUAUCAGAAGUGCGAAUGCUGACAUGAGUAGCGAUAAAGCGGGUGAAAAGCCCGCUCGCCGAAAGCCCAAGGUUUCCUGCGCAACGUUCAUCGGCGCAGGGUGAGUCGGCCCCUAAGGUGAGGCAGAGAUGCGUAGCUGAUGGGAAACAGGUUAAUAUUCCUGUACUUACAUUUACUGCGAUGUGGGGACGGAGAAGGUUAGGUCAGCCAUCUGUUGGAAUAGGUGGUUUAAGCGUGUAGGUUGAUCUCUUAGGCAAAUCCGGGAGGUUAAGACUGAGGCGUGACGACGAGUCUCCUUGUGAGACGAAGUGAUUGAUACCAAGCUUCCAAGAAAAGCCACUAAGCUUCAGGUAAAUGAAAACCGUACCGCAAACCGACACAGGUGGGCAGGAUGAGAAUUCUAAGGCGCUUGAGAGAACCCGGGAGAAGGAACUCGGCAAAUUAGCACCGUAACUUCGGGAGAAGGUGCGCCCCGGUAGGGUGAAGGACCUCGCGUCCGGAGCUCGAUGGGGUUGCAGUGAAAAGGUGGCUGCGACUGUUUAAUAAAAACACAGCACUGUGCAAACACGAAAGUGGACGUAUACGGUGUGACGCCUGCCCGGUGCCGGAAGGUUAAGUGAUGGGGUGCAAGCUCUUGAUCGAAGCCCCGGUAAACGGCGGCCGUAACUAUAACGGUCCUAAGGUAGCGAAAUUCCUUGUCGGGUAAG
rnacentral:rRNA from 2 species